CCUGGUGGCCAUGGCGAGGGUCCCCCACCCGAUCCCAUCCCGAACUCGGCCGUGAAACCCCUCCGCGCCGAUGGUACUGCGUCUCAAGACGUGGGAGAGUAGGUCGUCGCCAGGC
rnacentral:rRNA from 2 species